rnacentral:rRNA from 1 species
CUACGGGGUGCAGCAGUGGGGAAUAUUGCACAAUGGGCACAAGCCUGAUGCAGCCAUGCCGCGUGUAUGAAGAAGGCCUUCGGGUUGUAAAGUACUUUCAGCGGGGAGGAAGGGAGUAAAGUUAAUACCCUUGCUCAUUGACGUUACCCGCAGAAGAAGCACCGGCUAACUCCGUGCCAGCAGCCGCGGUAAUACGGAGGGUGCAAGCGUUAAUCGGAAUUACUGGGCGUAAAGCGCACGCAGGCGGUUUGUUAAGUCAGAUGUGAAAUCCCCGGGCUCAACCUGGGAACUGCAUCUGAUACUGGCAAGCUUGAGUCUCGUAGAGGGGGGUAGAAUUACAGGUGUAGCGGUGAAAUGCGUAGAGAUCUGGAGGAAUACCGGUGGCGAAGGCGGCCCCCUGGACGAAGACUGACGCUCAGGUGCGAAAGCGUGGGGAGCAAACAGGAUUAGAUACCCCGGUAGUC